rnacentral:rRNA from 1 species
GACGAACGCUGGCGGCGUGCUUUACCCAUGCAAGUCGAACGGGGGUCGCAAGACCCCAGUGGCAGACGGCUGAGUAACACGUGAGUGACCUGCCCAGAGGCGGGGGAUAGCCAUCCGAAAGGAUGGGUAAUACCGCGUAAGUUCACCAGGGUAGAGCCUGGUGAGGAAAGCCGAAAGGCGCCUUUGGAGGGGCUCGCGGCCCAUCAGGUAGUUGGCGAGGUAACGGCUCACCAAGCUGAUGACGGGUAGCUGGUCUGAGAGGAUGAUCAGCCAGACUGGGACUGAGAGACGGCCCAGACUCCUACGGGGGGCAGCAGGGGGGAAUCUUGGACAAUGGGGGCAACCCUGAUCCAGCGACGCCGCGUGGAGGACGAAGGUCUUCGGAUCGUAAACUCCUUUUGUCAGGGAAGAUGAUGACGGUACCUGGCGAAUAAGCCCCGGCUAACUACGUGCCAGCAGCCGCGGUAAUACGUAGGGGGCGAGCGUUGUCCGGAUUUACUGGGCGUAAAGAGCGCGUAGGCGGCUUGUUAAGUUGGCUGUGAAAACUCCCGGCUCAACUGGGAGAGGUCGGCCGAGACUGGCAGGCUUGAGGGCGGUAGAGGAAGGUGGAAUUCCGGGUGUAGUGGUGAAAUGCGUAGAUAUCCGGAGGAACACCGUUGGCGAAGGCGGCCUUCUGGGCCGUACCUGACGCUGAGGCGCGAAAGCGUGGGGAGCGAACUGAAUUAGAUACUCAGGUAGUCCACGCCCUAAACGAUGGACGCUAGGUGUAGGGGGUAUCGACCCCUCCUGUGCCGAAGCUAACGCAUUAAGCGUCCCGCCUGGGGAGUACGGCCGCAAGGCUA